AGCUAGCUUUCUGAAGACGCGUGCCUUCAGAGUGACUGCAACCUGUAAAGGGCGUGGAUGCAGAGGCCCACUGGUGCAACAGGGUGUCAGUAUGGCAGAAGACCCCCAGAGGAACUUUGUUCUGCCUAUUAUGAGAAGGUGGAGGAGAAUAAAUCACUGGAGAUACUUAUGAAAGAAAACCCAUUGGAUUUGGAGAAACUUAGCACAUUCAGUCAGAGGUUCCCUCUGCCCUCAAUGUACAGGAUCCAUGUGUGGAAAGUCUCACACACAAGCUACAUCCAACACAGCAGGUGCCACAAGAGAACACAGAUGCCAUAUUGACUAAAGCCAUUGACCUGUGGCACCCCCAUGCACUCUGUAUAGAAUCACAGAUCUCCAGAUCCCCAGCCAGACACUCUUGAUGGGUGUCAAUGACAUUGGGAUACGCUUGUACUCUCCCUCCCCUCAACUGGAGAACUCUGCCACUAACAAACAUCCAAUGAGUUUCGACUCAAUGGAUAUAAUGUCCGUACUAAGGACCGGUCCAAGGUAAAAAAUUAUAUAUAUGGUUGGGGAAACUGGUUCCAGACCUGUGCUUAGGGAGGCUUACUGAGCAGACUGUGAUUUUGGAUCACAGCAGCAGUCCACUCUGUUUUUAAUAGCCUGGUCCCAGAUCUGUUUGUGUUGUCUUGCCAACUCCUCCAACCUACUCGGUUCAGCCUACUCCAAAUGAAGCCCCUUUCCUUGAACAUGUCCUGAUGGAAGGAAGUUAGAGGUGGCGUCGCUUGGCAUGUGAAUGUCUAGCAGAAGAGCACAGUUAAAUCAUGUAUUUGUCAAUAAACAUACAUUUAAUGACAGAGAAUGUUGAGUGCAUUAAAACCACUCAAAUAUACUG